GGCCUCCUUCUGCGGGGCAGUUGAUCUGGGGGCCCCAUGAUUGAUUGCCCCACAGAGGGAGGCC
rfam:Myotis lucifugus cont2.7276, whole genome shotgun sequence.